AGGAAAAUUAUACCAUCAGCAAGACUGGCAUCAGCAAGUAGUUCACAGUGUUGAUUGUUCUUGGUUUCGUAGGAUUUUAUAGGAGUUCUGAACACUGGGAAGUCCAAGAGCAAGGCGCCAACAGAUUCAAUGUCUGAGGCUCUGAUCUUUUCAUUACAGAAAAAUCACUCUCACAGGGUUCUGCUGAGGGUGUGUGAUUACAGAUGAUGCCAAGGAGCACUCCGGGAACCUCUAAUGGGGAGGACACAAGACAAAGCAAAUGGACAGUCAUUUUUCCAAGAGAUGGGCCCCCUGCCAUGAGGAAGCUCUUCAGGCUGCGUCUCCUUUUUGUGUUUUUAUUUGAUCUUUAAUAAAGAAUAUUAAGACUGA